AUGUCAACGGUGUAAACAAUAGUUUCAAACGUAAAUAAAAAUAAAAAUUUGUUUUUCAAAUAAGUUCGGUUGUAAUUAAGAAUUGUGCAGUGAAUAAUUUAGGAAGAACAGUUUCUUUAGUGUAUUGUGUCAAUGAUCUUUAGAAGGUUUCUUGUUCACAAAGAUUCGUAAAACCCGUAAAACAUAAUGAAAAGUCGUUUUUAGGUUAGGUUCCAAUAUAUAGUUUAUUAUAACGUUCGUUUCUGUUUAAAAACAAUUCUAUAAUUAACAAUAGAGCUAAAAUGAAUAAAGUGGAUGCAUUUAUUGCCGUUUUAAAAGAAAAGAAUAAAUUGCAACAGGAGAAAUGCAAAAUAGAGAAAAAUGAUCAGGAGAAAGAGAAAACGAAAAUGAUCAACGAUGUUGUUGAAACAACUGAAAACUUGAUUCAAACGAAAGAAAACAUUGCGAAAAAUUUGAGUUUUUUAACAUCGAAUAAACAUUCGAUAUUUAAAGUGACACAGGAAGCAGAGACAACAAAAGGUCUUCCAAUAUCUUCCGAAUGCCAACAGCAAGCUUUGAAUUUAUUUACAAACAGCAUCACAUUUUUAAAUAAUUUUCAAGACGUUCAAAGAACUUUAGAAACAGAUAAAAAUAUAGAACUUUCGAAACCUGCAGGUGAUAUCGUGCGAAGCACAAGAUCAAUAGAGAACGAAUUAAAGAAAUUAAGAUCAUCUUUCAAUCAAAUUGAAGCUUUGCAGUUAAAAGUCGAACAAUUGAAAAAUACUCUCUUCAUUCCUGAAAGUGAAACUCAACAGGAGUUAGAUGAUUCCAUUUAUAUUAAUACAUAAGAAUGUAAUCGAAAUAUUGGCUGGACGCAUCCAAUUUAUUGUCAAGGUCCAAUUUCAAUAAAAUCAAUUGAGGAUCCACAAUAUCCUAGAAUGAAGACGACGUGCUGCAUCAUGAAUGGCAAGGAUGUGAG